rnacentral:rRNA from 1 species
GACGAACGCUGGCGGCGUGCCUAAUACAUGCAAGUCGAGCGACGUGGCGGACGGGUGAGUAACGCGUUGGUAACCUGCCCUUAAGUCUGGGAUACCAUUUGGAAACAGAUGCUAAUACCGGAUUCUAAAGGCUGGACCUGCGAUGCAUUAGCUAGUUGGUAAGGUAACGGCUUACCAAGGCGAGGAUGCAUAGCCGAGUUGAGAGACUGAUCGGCCACAUUGGGACGGAGACACGGCCCAAACUCCUACGGGAGGCAGCAGUAGGGAAUAUUGCACAAUGGGCGAAAGCCUGAUGCAGCCAUGCCGCGUGUAUGAAGAAGGCCUUCGGGUUGUAAAGUACUUUCAGCGAGGAGGCGUUACUCGCAGAAGAAGCACCGGCUAACUCCGUGCCAGCAGCCGCGGUAAUUC